AUUGAACGCUGGCGGCAGGCCUAACACAUGCAAGUCGAGCGAGCGGCGGACGGGGGAGUAAUGUCUGGGAAACUGCCUGAGGGGGGGGGAUAACUACUGGAAACGGUAGCUAAUACCGCAUACGAUCAGAUGUGCCCAGAUGGGAGUAGCUAGUGGGUGGGGUAACGGCUCACCUAGGCGACGCUCCCUAGCUGGUCUGAGAGGAUGACCAGCCACACUGGAACUGAGACACGGUCCAGACUCCUACGGGAGGCAGCAGUGGGGAAUAUUGCACAAUGGGCGCAAGCCUGAUGCAGCCAUGCCGCGUGUGUGAAGAAGGCCUUCGGGUUGUAAAGCACUUUCAGCGGGGAGGCGUUACCCGCAGAAGAAGCACCGGCUAACUCCGUGCCAGCAGCCGAGGUAAUUC
rnacentral:rRNA from 1 species